rnacentral:rRNA from 1 species
AGAGCGAACGCUGGCGGCAUGCUUAACACAUGCAAGUCGCACGGGCACUUCGGUGUCAGUGGCGGACGGGUGAGUAACGCGUAGGUAUCUAUCCUUAGGUGGGGGAUAACGGUUGGAAACGACUGCUAAUACCGCAUGAUAACUGAGGUUUAAAGGCGCGAGUCGCCUGGGGAGGAGCCUGCGUACGAUUAGCUUGUUGGUGGGGUAAAGGCCUACCAAGGCGACGAUCGUUAGCUGGUCUGAGAGGAUGAUCAGCCACAUUGGGACUGAGACACGGCCCAAACUCCUACGGGAGGCAGCAGUGGGGAAUAUUGGACAAUGGGCGAAAGCCUGAUCCAGCAAUGCCGCGUGUGUGAAGAAGGUCUUCGGAUUGUAAAGCACUUUCGACAGGGACGAUGAUGACGGUACCUGUAGAAGAAGCCCGGCUAACUUCGUGCCAGCAGCCGC